AGGAGCUCUCCACCACAAACGCGUGUCCACACACCACAGGAAUGAAGCAAAAACAAACGGAUGCUUAACACAGUUAUUACGCAAAACUUUGUGGUUUUUCGUCUGAAUUCGCGUGUUUUUGUCUCUCGCGGACUGGACAGGAAAGUUUUUUAUAUAUCUGAGAAGGAAUAACGUUACCUGCCAGCAAACGAACACAUCAUCCGCAAACCGUCACACCUUCUCCUCAGCGUUUGAGUGCGCUGAGGACAUCGGAUCUGCUUUUGGACUGCAUUUUUUGUUCGUUUCUUUUUAAGGGUGAAGGGACAAGUCCCUUGAAGUACGUAUGUUUUUCUUUUACAAAAUGAGUGUGGAUCUGUAGUUCUGUGUCCCGGUUCUCAGUAGGUUUGUGCGGAAGAGCUUGAGAAAUAGUUUAGUUCCCGUAGACUGUUGUGUUGUUUCCCCCUUUUCUAUUUCUUGGAUGCUGGAAUUUAAAACUGACAGUCCCGUUCUCUCCUCAUGCCUAUGAAAACAACUCACGGAUGGUAAGGAUUCCAGAGAAUGGUAAAUGAUCGAUGGAAAAUCAUGAACAGUGUUUCAGAACUCGAGGAUGGACAGCAGCAUAAAUCGCAGAGGAUGAGCUGUAGUUAUCUCCUGUGCACCAUUCUGCUGUUUGUUGCCGUUUUACUGGCCGUGACAGUAACCGGGAUCAUCCUCCUGAUGAACCAUUACCAGGCUCCCAGCGGCCCCGAUGGCCCCCCGCUCAUCAGCACCAAUCAGGACGAGGGAAACGCCCUGGUGACCAUCGAGCGGGGCGAUGGCUCCCGCAUCAACAUCUUCAUCGACCCCAACUGUCCCGACUACAACAAUAACUUCCUGCGUCUGGAGGGGGUUCAGACCUCACUGCUGCACUCACUCACCGACCACGACACUGAUCUGAAAUCAGUGAAAGCUACUGUCAGAAAGCCAGAUCAACAUGGUGAAAGUGGUGAACUCGGUGAGUGACGCGCUCAGCUCCAUGCAGAAGGAAAAUGGAAACAUCAAGAGCCGUCUUAAGGCAGAUCUGCAGAGGGCUCCGGUGCGCAGUGUCCGGCCCAAAGGCUGCGCCGCUGGAGAGGGUUCCAGACCCAGAGACUGCAGUGACAUCUAUGCCAGCGGGCAAAGAGAGGAUGGCAUCUACUCGGUGUUCCCCACGCAUUACCCAGCAGGCUUCCAGGUCUUCUGUGACAUGACUACUGAUGGAGGCGGGUGGACGGUGAUUCAACGCAGAGAAGAUGGCUCAGUUAACUUUUUCCGUGACUGGGAAGCCUAUCGUGAAGGAUUUGGCAAGAUAACAGGAGAGCAUUGGCUAGG
ensembl:processed_transcript